AUACGGAGGAUGCGAGCGUUAUCCGGAUUUAUUGGGUUUAAAGGGUGCGUAGGCGGGCUGUUAAGCGUGAGGUGAAAGCUCGGGGCUCAACCCCGGAACUGCCUCGCGAACUGGCGGUCUUGAAUGUCCGUGCCGUGGGAGGAAUGUGUGGUGUAGCGGUGAAAAGCAUAGAGAUAACACAGACCACCGAUUGAGAAGGCAACUCCCGAACGGGAGAUUGACGCUGAGGGCCGAAAGCGUGUGGAACAAAAAGGAUUAGAUACCCGGGUAGUCCACGCAGUAAACGAUGAUAACUAACCGCUGGUGCGCAAGUAUCAGUGCCAAGCGAAAGCGAUAAGUUAUCCACCUUGGGAGUACGACCGCAAGGUUGAAACUCAAAUGAAUUGACGGGG
rnacentral:rRNA from 1 species